rnacentral:rRNA from 1 species
UACGUAGGGUGCAAGCGUUUGUCCGGAAUUAUUGGGCGUAAAGAGCUCGUAGGCGGUUUGUCGCGUCGGAUGUGAAAACCUGGGGCUUAACCCCGGGCCUGCAUUCGAUACGGGCAGACUAGAGUUCGGUAGGGGAGACUGGAAUUCCUGGUGUAGCGGUGAAAUGCGCAGAUAUCAGGAGGAACACCGGUGGCGAAGGCGGGUCUCUGGGCCGAUACUGACGCUGAGGAGCGAAAGCGUGGGGAGCGAACAGG